rnacentral:misc_RNA from 1 species
UGUGGGAGGGGGCUUGCUCCCGAUAGCGGUGGUUCAGCUAAAUUUCUUUGGCUGACACACCGCCAUCGGGGGCAAGCCCCCUCCCACA